rnacentral:ncRNA from 1 species
CAGGUUUUCUAUUUUUGUAGAACUAAGAGGGAAUCAGGUCAAAGGCCUGAACGAACCCGUCGCUGUAGAAGAAUAGUCUCUUUAACGCAUUGUGCCUGCGAAUGUCACUGAAGGAAUAUCCUUUGGGAAGACUUUAAUGAGACGCUAAGUCUUUAAGUCAGAAGACCUGCCUGUGGGG